rnacentral:rRNA from 1 species
UGAGGGAUAUUGGGCAAUGGGCGCAAGCCUGACCCAGCGACGCCGCGUGGAGGAGAAGGGCUUCGGCUCGUAAACUCCUUUUCCCAGGGACGAGCAAGGACGGUACCUGGGGAAUAAGUCUCGGCUAACUACGUGCCAGCAGCCGCGGUAAUACGUAGGAGGCAAGCGUUAUCCGGAAUUACUGGGCGUAAAGGGCGUCUAGGUGGGUGCUCAAGCGGGGUGUGAAAGCUCCUGGCUUAACUGGGAGAGUGCGCUCCGAACUGAGCGACUAGAGGGCAGGCGACGUGGAUGGAAUACCCGGUGGAGUGGUGAAAUGCGUAGAGAUCGGGUGGAACACCAGUGGCGAAGGCGGUCCACGAGCCUGUGCCUGACACUGAAGCGCGAGAGCGUGGGGAGCAAA